GUGUCAGCAGCCGCGGUAAUACGUAGGGAGCAAGCGUUGUUCGGAAUUAUUGGGCGUAAAGAGCGCGUAGGCGGUUCGGUAAGUCUGACGUGAAAUCCCGGAGCUUAACUCCGGAACUGCGUUGGAUACUGCCGGGCUUGAGUGUGGGAGAGGAGAGUGGAAUUCCCAGUGUAGAGGUGAAAUUCGUAGAUAUUGGGAGGAACACCCGUGGCGAAGGCGGCUCUCUGGACCACAACUGACGCUGAGGCGCGAAAGCUAGGGUAGCAAACGGGAUUAGAUACCCCUGUAGUCC
rnacentral:rRNA from 1 species